rnacentral:rRNA from 1 species
UGCCAGACUCCUACGGGAGGCAGCAGUGGGGGAUAUUGCACAAUGGGGGGAACCCUGAUGCAGCGACGCCGCGUGAGUGAAGAAGUAUUUCGGUAUGUAAAGCUCUAUCAGCAGGGACGAAGAUGGCGGUACCUGCAGAAGAAGCCCCGGCUAACUACGUGCCAGCAGCCGCGGUAAUACGUAGGGGGCAAGCGUUAUCCGGAUUUACUGGGUGUAAAGGGAGCGUAGGCGGUUUAGCAAGUCAGAAGUGAAAGCCCGGGGCUCAACGCCGGGACUGCUUUUGAAACUGUUGAACUAGAUUGCAGGAGAGGUAAGUGGAAUUCCUAGUGUAGCGGUGAAAUGCGUAGAUAUUAGGAGGAACACCAGUGGCGAAGGCGGCUUACUGGACUGUAAAUGACGCUGAGGCUCGAAAGCGUGGGGAGCAAACAGGAUUAGAUACCCUUGUAC